UACGGGGGGAGCAAGCGUUGUUCGGAUUUACUGGGCGUAAAGGGCGCGUAGGCGGCCACCGCAAGUCAGUUGUGAAAUCUCUGGGCUUAACCCAGAAAGGUCAACUGAUACUGCGGGGCUAGAGUGCAGAAGGGGCAACUGGAAUUCUCGGUGCAGCGGUGAAAUGCGUGGAUAUCGAGAGGAACACCUGCGGCGAAGGCGGGUUGCUGGGCUGACACUGACGCUGAGGCGCGAAAGCUAGGGGAGCGAACGGG
rnacentral:rRNA from 1 species